rnacentral:rRNA from 1 species
GACGAACGCUGGCGGCGUGCUUAACACAUGCAAGUCGAGCGGAGCGGCGAACGGGCGAGUAACGCGUGAGUAACUGACCCCCUCUCUGGGAUAACAGUUGGAAACGGCUGCUAAUACCGGAUAGUGGGGGGUGACUCGGGUCCUAUCAGCUUGUUGGUGGGGUAGUGGCCUACCAAGGCGACGACGGGUAGCCGGCCUGAGAGGGCGACCGGCCACAUUGGGCUGAGCUACGGCCCAAACGCCUACGGUAGGCAGCAGGGGGAAAUAUUGCACAAGGGUGGAAACCCUGAUGCAGCAACGCGCGUGCGGGAUGACGGCCUUGGGGUUGUAAACCGCUUUCAGCCAUGAAGCGGUAGUGGCAGAAGAAGCACCGGCUAACUACGUGCCAGCAGCCGCGGUAAUUC